rnacentral:rRNA from 1 species
ACGCUUUGUGGUUCAACUGAUUUGAAGAGCUUGCUCAGAUAUGACGAUGGACAUUGCAAAGAGUGGCGAACGGGUGAGUAACACGUGGGAAACCUACCUCUUAGCAGGGGAUAACAUUUGGAAACAGAUGCUAAUACCGUAUAACAAUAGCAACCGCAUGGUUGCUACUUAAAAGAUGGUUCUGCUAUCACUAAGAGAUGGUCCCGCGGUGCAUUAGUUAGUUGGUGAGGUAAUGGCUCACCAAGACGAUGAUGCAUAGCCGAGUUGAGAGACUGAUCGGCCACAAUGGGACUGAGACACGGCCCAUACUCCUACGGGAGGCAGCAGUAGGGAAUCUUCCACAAUGGGCGAAAGCCUGAUGGAGCAACGCCGCGUGUGUGAUGAAGGGUUUCGGCUCGUAAAACACUGUUGUAAGAGAAGAAUGACAUUGAGAGUAACUGUUCAAUGUGUGACGGUAUCUUACCAGAAAGGAACGGCUAAAUACGUGCCAGCAGCCGCGGUAAUACGUAUGUUCCAAGCGUUAUCCGGAUUUAUUGGGCGUAAAGCGAGCGCAGACGGUUAUUUAAGUCUGAAGUGAAAGCCCUCAGCUCAACUGAGGAAUUGCUUUGGAAACUGGAUGACUUGAGUGCAGUAGAGGAAAGUGGAACUCCAUGUGUAGCGGUGAAAUGCGUAUAUAUAUGGAAGAACACCAGUGGCGAAGGCGGCUUUCUGGACUGUAACUGACGUUGAGGCUCGAAAGUGUGGGUAGCAAACAGGAUUAUAUACCCUGGUAGUCCACACCGUAAACGAUGAGUGCUAGGUGUUUGAGGGUUUCCGCCCUUAAGUGCCGCAGCUAACGCAUUAAGCACUCCGCCUGGGGAGUACGACCGCAAGGUUGAAACUCAAAGGAAUUGACGGGGACCCGCACAAGCGGUGGAG